rnacentral:rRNA from 1 species
AUUGAACGCUGGCGGCAGGCUUAACACAUGCAAGUCGAGCGGAGCGAGGGUGCUUGCACCUUAGCUUAGCGGCGGACGGGUGAGUAAUGCUUAGGAAUCUGCCUAUUAGUGGGGGACAACAUUCCGAAAGGAAUGCUAAUACCGCAUACGCCCUACGGGGGAAAGCAGGGGAUCUUCGGACCUUGCGCUAAUAGAUGAGCAUAAGUCGGAUUAGCUAGUUGGUGGGGUAAAGGCCUACCAAGGCGACGAUCUGUAGCGGGUCUGAGAGGAUGAUCCGCCACACUGGGACUGAGACACGGCCCAGACUCCUACGGGAGGCAGCAGUGGGGAAUAUUGGACAAUGGGCGGAAGCCUGAUCCAGCCAUGCCGCGUGUGUGAAGAAGGCCUUUUGGUUGUAAAGCACUUUAAGCGAGGAGGAGGCUACUUAGAUUAAUACUCUGGGAUAGUGGACGUUACUCGCAGAAUAAGCACCGGCUAACUCUGUGCCAGCAGCCGCCGCAGU